AAGGUUCGAUUCGAGCGCAGCGAGAAAGCGUUGCCGCAGGCAACGACCCGAAGGGCGAAGCGCGCAGCGCUGAGUAAUCCUUCCCCCACCACCA
rnacentral:sRNA from 3 species